rnacentral:rRNA from 1 species
AAAGUUGAAAAGAACUUUGAAGAGAGAGUUCAAAAGGGCGUGAAACCGCUUAGAAUAAAACGGACGGAGCCGUCAGGAGCCCUCGGGAAUCAGUCGUACGAUUCGCGAAAGUGCCGCAUUCUGGAACGUAAGUCUAGACGCGGUCCUAUUAGUAGUGGUCGAAUGGCGCAUUUCUCGAGGGUAAGCACUGCGACCGAUAUGAAAGGCUGACGAAGCGAUUGGAUUGUGGGCGAGUCCUUCGGGAAUUUGUACCAGUCCUUUUGCCUGAGUCGUCAGACCGCAGUAUGUAUCGAGUGCCUAGAUAUAUAUGCCGGCGUAAAUCGCUCGCCUAAGUAAUGGAUAGUCGAUUAACUAGCUGGUACCUGCUUGCAGGGACUGGUGAACUUGGUUGGCUUAGAAAUUACUGGUGACUUACCGGUGUAUUGGCGUCAGCAGUGUCAGUGUCGGCCACCCAUCCGACCCGUCUUGAAACACGGACCAAGGAGUCUAACAUAUGCGCGAGCUAAUGGGUGGAAAACCCAGAAGCGCAAUAAAAGUAAACGCUGUUUCGGACAGCCAAGAUACUAUUCUAGAUUCUGUCUAGACGCAGUAUCGUCCCGUCUCGACUGCAUGUCGGUAGGGCGGAGAAAGAGUGCAUACGUUGGGACCCGAAAGAUGGUGAACUAUGCCUGAGCAGAGCGAAGCCAGAGGAAACUCUGGUGGAGGUUCGUAGCGGUUCUGACGUGCAAAUCGAUCGUCAGACUUGGGUAUAGGGGCGAAAGACUAAUCGAACC